rnacentral:rRNA from 1 species
GUGGGGAAUUUUGGACAAUGGGCGCAAGCCUGAUCCAGCAAUGCCGCGUGCAGGAAGAAGGCCUUCGGGUUGUAAACUGCUUUUGUACGGAACGAAACGGUCCGGGUUAAUACCCUGGGCUAAUGACGGUACCGUAAGAAUAAGCACCGGCUAACUACGUGCCAGCAGCCGCGGUAAUACGUAGGGUGCAAGCGUUAAUCGGAAUUACUGGGCGUAAAGCGUGCGCAGGCGGCUUUGUAAGACAGGCGUGAAAUCCCCGGGCUCAACCUGGGAAUUGCGCUUGUGACUGCAAGGCUGGAGUGCGGCAGAGGGGGAUGGAAUUCAGCGUGUAGCAGUGAAAUGCGUAGAUAUGCGGAGGAACACCGAUGGCGAAGGCAAUCCCCUGGGCCUGCACUGACGCUCAUGCACGACAGCGUGGAGAGCAAACAGGAUUAGAAACCCUAGUAGUCC